CAGUAGCCGCGGUAAUACGUAGGGUGCAAGCGUUAAUCGGAAUUACUGGGCGUAAAGCGUGCACAGGCGGUUAUAUAAGACAGAUGUGAAAUCCCCGGGCUCAACCUGGGAACUGCAUUUGUGACUGUAUAGCUAGAGUACGGCAGAGGGGGAUGGAAUUCCGCGUGUAGCAGUGAAAUGCGUAGAUAUGCGGAGGAACACCGAUGGCGAAGGCAAUCCCCUGGGCCUGUACUGACGCUCAUGCACGAAAGCGUGGGGAGCAAACAGGAUUAGAUACCCCGGUAGUCCCUGUCUCUUAUAC
rnacentral:rRNA from 1 species